GUAAUGGGGGGUGUUGAUGACAAGGUACAGCCAGCAUGGAGAACACUGUACAGGGGACUGGUGAAAUGUAAUGGAGGAUGUUGAUGACAAGGUAAAGCCAGCAUGGAGAACACUGUACAGGGGACUGGUGAAAUGUAAUGGAGGAUGUUGAUGACAAGGUAAAGCCAGCAUGGAGAACACUGUACAGGGGACUGGUGAAAUGUAAUGGGGGGUGUUGAUGACAAGGUAAAGCCAGCAUGGAGAACACUGUACAGGGGACUGGUGAAAUGUAAUGGGGGGUGUUGAUGACAAGGUAAAGCCAGCAUGGAGAACACUGUACAGGGGACUGGUGAUAUGUAAUGGGGGGUGUUGAUGACAAGGUAAAGCCAGCAUGGAGAACACUGUACAGGGGACUGGUGAUAUGUAAUGGGGGGUGUUGAUGACAAGGUAAAGCCAGCAUGGAGAACACUGUACAGGGGACUGGUGAUAUGUAAUGGGGGGUGUUGAUGACAAGGUAAAGCCAGCAUGGAGAACACUGUACAGGGGACUGGUGAUAUGUAAUGGGGGGUGUUGAUGACAAGGUAAAGCCAGCAUGGAGAACACUGUACAGGAGACUGGUGAUAUGUAAUGGGGGGUGUUGAUGACAAGGUAAAGCCAGCAUGGAGAACACUGUACAGGGGACUGGUGAUAUGUAAUGGGGGGUGUUGAUGACAAGGUAAAGCCAGCAUGGAGAACACUGUACAGGGGACUGGUGAAAUGUAAUGGGGGGUGUUGAUGACAAGGUAAAGCCAGCAUGGAGAACACUGUACAGGGGACUGGUGAUAUGUAAUGGAGGGUGUUGAUGACAAGGUAAAGCCAGCAUGGAGAACACUGUACAGGGGACUGGUGAUAUGUAAUGGGGGGUGUUGAUGACAAGGUAAAGCCAGCAUGGAGAACACUGUACAGGGGACUGGUGAUAUGUAAUGGGGGGUGUUGAUGACAAGGUAAAGCCAGCAUGGA